rnacentral:rRNA from 5 species
GGUCAAGCUAAUAAGGGCUAAUGGU